UAUCCAGCUUUCCACGCUAACCAUAAUGGCGGCUGCUAUAAAAAAAUUUGACAGCACUUGUGCCCCAGCUGAACUGAAAUUAUGAUACAAAAUCUCAGCAAUCUUAGAAAUCAUGAAAAAAAAUCAGCUGUCAAGUGAUGAAAAAUGCUACUGCUUUAAAUAAUUUGGAUAGGUUUGUUCAAACAUUUUCGUUUUUAAUAAAUAAUUUAUUCUUUAUUUUAGGUAAGGGACGUUAGUCGUAAAGACCUCUUUUGGAUCCCGGACUCUCGAAGCCCAAUCCCAAAUUUGAACAAAAGGAAAACCCAUGAGCUACUGGUCUUUUGCGAAUAGCAACCUCCCAGAUCCCUUGGAGGCAACGGAUAGGGUCAGAUGGCGGUGAUGGCUUCGACAAUGGUGAUGUAGCUUUGAUGAUGAUGACGAGAGUUUCAAGAGAUGAUAGGAUGGGAGCGGUUUGAGAAGUGGCGUUUCGGGAGCAAUACUCAAUUCCCUCGAUUCCGUAGCAGGUCCAGAAGGCCUUUGUAGGAUCGAGUUAUCCGUUUUCUCCGUUUCAAUUGCAAAGAUGAGCUGCGUUGUGAUGUAUAAUUUGGUCGGAUUCCGUUGAGUUUCUUCUUCUGUCAGAGUACAAACUCUGCGACCAUACCUUCAACAAUUUCAAAUUCUUCAGGAGCGGAUGUUCCACAAGUCGGUCAUCGUAUAUCUCCUCCACUUGAGCAUACAGAUGUUUCGUUCAAAUAUGGCAGCUUAUCACGAAUGGGCCAGGAAUACAACUCCAGGUGUACGGUGCAAUACAGAUGUCAGCAGAAAAGAUCUCUAGUCCCAGACCGAGUCGAAACUUUUAGGAUCUUGCUGCAGCUUUACCCUAGUAGGAUAUUGGGCCAAUAUGACCCAGACUGGUACGCUGAACGUGCACUACGCCAUCGUGGUGCGAAAGUCCUAACAUCUUAGGAGGGCUCAGUAUGUUUAAGUUGUUCCAUUCCAUUUUUCCAUUUCCUUUAUCAUAGUUUUGAGUAGAUCCUCUUGUCCUGCAGUGUUGUAUGUUGCUUUCACAACGAAAAUGCGCCACCACUUCCACAGGGGCUCCAGUCUACAGAACUUCUCAAAUCUCAGAACUUCUCGUGCAAAACCCUCCCAUACGUUUGGGCGUAGUCUGACUCAUAAAAAUAGUUUUAAUCAAGCUGAUGAAUUAACGAUGACAAUAAUUCCAUUACAUUUGCUGCAAUAUAUGUUUAGUGCCGUUUUGCCUUCAAUCUGCUUUUUUACGGCUUCAAA